rnacentral:rRNA from 1 species
UACGUAGGUGGCAAGCGUUGUCCGGAUUUAUUGGGUUUAAAGGGUGCGUAGGCGGUUCAAUAAGUCAGUGGUGAAAUACGGCAGCUCAACUGUCGAGGUGCCAUUGAUACUGUAGAACUUGAGUACAGACGAGGUAGGCGGAAUUGACGGUGUAGCGGUGAAAUGCUUAGAUAUCGUCAAGAACACCGAUAGCGAAGGCAGCUUACUAGGCUGUAACUGACGCUGAGGCACGAAAGUGUGGGGAUCAAACAGG